UUUGAAUGCUACAUUUUUAAAUUUAAGCUAGAAUCAUAGAAUCCUUAAGGUAGGAAAAGACCUCCAAGAUCAUCUGGUCCAAACGUCCCCCUACCACCAACAUCACCCACUAAACUAUUUCCCAAAGCACCAUGUCUAACCUUUCCUUAAAUGCUCCCAGGGUGGUGACUCCACCAUCUCCCUGGGCAACACAUUCCAAUGCUUGACUACUCUUUCUGAGAAUAAAUGUCUCCUAAUUUCCAGGCUGA